AGAGUUUGAUCCUGGCUCAGAACGAACGCUGGCGGCAGGCCUAACACAUGCAAGUCGAACGCUUCAGCAAUGAAGAGUGGCAGACGGGUGAGUAACGCGUGGGAACCUUCCCAAUGGUACGGAAUAGCCCAGGGAAACUUGGGGUAAUACCGUAUAAGCCCUUAGGGGGAAAGAUUUAUCGCCAUUGGAUGGGCCCGCGUCGGAUUAGCUUGUUGGUGAGGUAAAAGCUCACCAAGGCGACGAUCCGUAGCUGGUCUGAGAGGAUGAUCAGCCACACUGGGACUGAGACACGGCCCAGACUCCUACGGGAGGCAGCAGUGGGGAAUAUUGCACAAUGGGCGCAAGCCUGAUGCAGCCAUGCCGCGUGUGUGAAGAAGGCUUUCGGGUUGUAAAGCACUUUCAGUGAGGAGGAAAAGUUAACGGUUAAUACCCGUUAGCCCUGACGUUACUCACAGAAGAAGCACCGCUAACU
rnacentral:rRNA from 1 species